UUUAUACCAUAAUAAAAGUUUCCCGCUUGCCACAAAAAGUUCUAAAAUUCCCUCCUUGAUAUUUCCUCCCAUACUAAAAUUCAUCUAGCAAACAUCAAAUUCUUAGUCGCUUCCACCCCCACCGUGAAAACCCUAAACUGCCUGGAGGGUUCGCAUAUAUCGUCAUCAUCAAAUUGUAUACACCUGUGGGAUGUUUCCAGUUCAAGAUUUUUGAGCCAAACGGGCAACAACGGUUUUGGAUAAACCUAUGCUAAACCGGCCAAUGGUUUGGCGGUUCCAUUUUGACGGUUUGGUGGUCAAAGCAGUUCGGUAUUGAGGGUUUUGGCUCACCAUUUUUUUUUUGCUUUUUAAAAACUAAUCGUGCUUUUCUUCAAGUUGUAUAUGAAAACUUUAUAGAAUUGAAAAACAAACUAUUGAAAUAAUCUAACAUAAUCUUGUGUACUGAUGAAUCUCUAUAAUACAUACAACAAUUAAGGAACUGUGCAGAAUAUGAAUACGUUCUCAUUUAUUUUAAGAAUAUAUAUUUUUAUAUUGUGUGUUUUGCUAAUUAUUUAUAGGAGUUCACCAGAAGAGUGGAAGAUUUAAAGGUGGAUCUAAUUUACUCAAUACUCAUAUAAUGAUCUUACUCGGUUACUUUGUGAAACCAGGUAGCAAAAGAUCACGGGUUUGAACAAGUAUUUCUCAUGCUCACUUCUAGGUCAAAAGCUGACUUUGAACCGCAGGUACGUACUUAGAAGCUUCAAGAAAGCAUUUGUACUAGAUUUCAACCCUCAUCUGGCUCCCCCAAUGUGGAGACAGCUGCAAGGAGCAGCAACGCAGGUAGCAUUAUCAAAACUAUGGAACGGUUGGAAUAGGAGAACCCAUGGAAAUUCGAGUACCUAGCAGGCGUUCACUGUUUAGAAGUCUUAGCUUAUUUGCUUCCGCUGUGCAAUGAAGAUACCGGUCCAGUCACGCCAGCUCUGAUAUUUCGGGGUGUGACACUCGCGUCGGGCAUGUUUCACAUAGUGUAGUUCUUGAGACAUUCGGCGUAGGAGAGCAAGAUGAAGGCGGCAGUCCAGAUGUAAAUCAGGUGAUUGGGGCAGUUCUUAAUUUCUUUGGGCAGGGCCUCAUCGCUGGUACCAGCACAACGCAACCACACAAGCAGGUGGCUUUUUUACCAAACAAGAUAUUAAGAGCCUACUAUGUUUACAGGUGAUGGCAAUUCCGACAACCAGGGGAAUUGAAAAAACCACCCAAUCUUUUAGCUGAAGAGCUUAAAGUGAUGUCAAAAGAAGUUGAGUAUAGUCAGUUAGUUGGUUGAUGUAGCGACAAUAUGAGUAUAGUCAGUUGGCUGAUGUAGCGACAAUAAUUAGCAAGUGUUGGGAACUAUGAAGUGGAAAUAUUACUACUAAGAAAACAUUAACACGAUGAUUAUUUAACUCGCAUGAAGAUUGUGAAAGAGAUUCAUGAACACUAUGAAGUUUUGAGUUUUUAUUCAUACACUUAGUUUAUUUGGGUUAUAUGUUUGAUCAUUACACAUAGAUCGGCACUUAUUAGACAUUUGGAAUCUUUGGAAGAUUGAUUGAACUUUUA